UCAAGCGAACAAGGGCGCAGGGCGAAUGCCUUGGCACUGGGAGCCGAUGAAAGACGUGAUAAGCUGCGAUAAGCUUCGGGGAGCUGCAAAUAAGCAUUGAUCCGGAGAUCUCUGAAUGAGGAAACUCACUCAGGUUCAUACCUGAGUACGUUGUACUGAAAUUCAAAAUAGGUACAUCGGGGGAACCGCCUGAACUGAAACAUCUAAGUAGGGCGAGGAAGAGACAUCAAACGAGAUUCCGUAAGUAGUGGCGAGCGAACGCGGAAGAGGGCAAACCGGGAGUAGAAAUACUUCCGGGGUACGGAGCGCAUUUAAGACUUGAGUUGUUAACCGAACGGCAUGGGAAGGCCGGUCAGAGAGUGUGAGAACCACGUAGGUGAAAACGACAAGAGCUGAGCGAUUUCCAGAGUACGGCCAGACACGUGAAACCUGGUCGGAAGAUGGGGGGACCACCCUCCAACCCUAAAUACUACCCAGUGACCGAUAGCGUAUAGUACUGUGAAGGAAAGGUGAAAAGCACCCCGGGAGGGGAGUGAAAAAGAACCUGAAACCCUGUGCCUACAAGCACCUAGAGCACGUCAAUGUGUGAUAGGGUACUUUUUGUAGAACGGUCCGGCGAGCGAUUGUAUGCAGCAAGGUUAAGGACUUAAGGUCUGGAGCCGAAGCGAAAGCGAGUUUGAAAAGGGCGUUAAGUUGCAUAUAAUGGGCCCGAAACCGGGUGACCUACCCAUGGUCAGGUUGAAGUGGAAGUAAAAUUCCAUGGAGGACCGAACCGACCUCCGUUGAAAAGGCGGCGGAUGAACUGUGGGUAGCGGAGAAAUUCCAAUCGAACCCGGAGAUAGCUGGUUCUCCCCGAAAUAGUUUUAGGACUAGCCUCAAGUUAGAUACCUGGAGGUAAAGCACUGAAUAGCCUAGCGGCCGAGAGGUUAGCGAAGCUUAUCAAACUCAGAAUGCCAGAGUAUUGAUGCUUGGGAGUCAGACAGUGUCAGAUAAAUGUCAUUGUCAAAAGGGAAACAGCCCAGAUCUACAGCUAAGGUCCCAAAGUCAGGUUAAGUGGAAAACGAUGUGAAGAUACGCAGACAACCAGGAUGUUGGCUCAGAAGCAGCCACUCAUUCAAAGAGUGCGUAAUAGCUCACUGGUCGAGCGUCUUUGCGCGGAGAAUUUAACGGGGCUAAACCUGACACCGAAGCUUAGGCAAUCCAGUAAUGGAUUGGGUAGGGGAGCGUUGUAUACGCGGAGAAACAGUAGCGUAAGCGGCUGUGGAGUGUAUAGAAGUGAGAAUGCCGGAAUGAGUAGCGCGAAUGCAGUGAGAAUCUGCAUGGCCGAAAGCCUCAGGUUUUUGGAGGAAGGUUCGUCCGCUCCAAGUUAGUCGGGAGCUAAGGUGAGGCCGGAAGGCGUAGCCGAUGCACAGACGGUAGAGAUUCCGUCACCACCAAAAGAGUUAAGCACAGGGACACAUUUGAAGUCUCAGAGCCGGGUGUUGGUUCCGGUAGAGAUCGAGGGAAGUUAGUACCGAAGUCUGGGAUGGAAGAUGGCGAGAAAAGCUGUGUGUAUUUCUGAGGUGCCCGUACCGCAAACCGACACAGGUAGGUAGGAAGAAGAUUCUAAGGCCAACGGGAGAAGGGUUGUUAAGGAACUCGGCAAAUUGACCCCGUAACUUCGGGAGAAGGGGUGCUCCAGAGAUGGAGCCGCAGAGAAUCGGCCCAAGCAACUGUUUACCAAAAACACAGGUUUGUGCUAAAUCGAAAGAUGACGUAUACGAGCUGACGCCUGCCCGGUGCUGGAAGGUUAAGAGGAGAUGUGCAAGCAUUGAAUCGAAGCCCCAGUGAACGGCGGCCGUAACUAUAACGGUCCUAAGGUAGCGAAAUUCCUUGUCAGGUAAGUUCUGACCCGCA
rnacentral:rRNA from 1 species